rnacentral:misc_RNA from 1 species
UACGGAGGAUCCAAGCGUUAUCCGGAAUCAUUGGGUUUAAAGGGUCCGUAGGCGGGUUUAUAAGUCAGUGGUGAAAGUCUGCAGCUUAACUGUAGAACUGCCAUUGAUACUGUAGACCUUGAAUUAUUAUGAAGUGGUUAGAAUAUGUAGUGUAGCGGUGAAAUGCAUAGAUAUGUCGUGGAACACCGAUUGCGAAGGCAGAUCACUAAUAAUAUACUGACGCUGAUGGACGAAAGCGUGGGGAGCGAACAGG